GGUCAGCAGCAGAUGAACAAAAGCCAGAGUGUGCCCAGGUGUCCAAGAAGGCCAAUGGCUUCCUGGCCUGUAUCAGCAAAAGUGUGAGCAGAAGGACUAGGGAGAUACAGCCCCCUGUACUCUGCACUGAUACCCCUGCUUCAGAACCAGCAGAGAGUAUCCCAGAGCCUGGGACAAGUGCCUAGUUCCAGUUUUAGCGACUCUUCCCUAACAAGUACUAUUCCUAUGAAACGGAACAGAUUUAGCAGGAGAAAAUAGAUAGAGCAACAAACACAGGAAACUCAGGAAUUUGAGAGUCUGUUAAGGCUCAGGAGACUGCAAUGAAGUUCUUUGGCUCCAGAGAA